rnacentral:misc_RNA from 1 species
GGAAGGAUCAUUAUAUUAGUACCGAACCGACCUGGGUUUAAACCAGUGCCGGGUUUAUGUUGGCUUAUCGUAUCCGAGGUGAAAGGCGGCUUCGGUCCCUAUAGCCUCUGUAAUAAACGUCCUAUGCCCCUAGUGGGUUAAUUAAAAUACAAGGCAUAACGGUGGAUGAAUUGGUUCGGAUAGCGAUGAAGAUCGUAGCAAAAUGCGAUAAGGAGUACGAAUUGCAGGAACUGCGAGUACUUUAUCAUUGAAUGCACGCUGCGCCUAAACCGAGCAAUCGGAAGGUGUGUUCUGCUGAGCUGUAUUUAAUCACGAAUCCCUUAAUGGGGUAUUGGGCCUAAACUGCUUCAGUUAUAGGCCUUAAAUGACGACAACGGGUACGACCUAGUUGAUGCGCUCUUUCGGUUCAUGCCAUCUGGUGCUGAUACUUAAUGUGACCUCGAUAAAGCAAACCCUUCAUACACAUACACUCAGCUGGAGCACGAUUACCCCUGGAAUUUAAGCAUAUUAUUACGGGGAGGAAAAGAAACUAACAAGGAUUCGCCUAGUAACUGCGAGUGAAGAGCGAAGAGCCCAUCCUGAAUCUCUGAUCCCUAAAGGUUAGAGAGUUGUAGGGUAAGGUCGAUCCUUUCGGGAUAAGCGCUGUUUGAAGUCCGUUGGAAUGCGGUGCCACAGAGGGUGAGAGCCCCGUAAGAUAGCGUGGAUCCUUUUAUAAGGGUUAGAUCAUGAGUCGCACUGUUUGAGAGUACAGUGCUAAGCGGUGAUAUGCAUCAUCGAAGGCUAAAUAUUGAUCCGAGACCGAUAGCAAACAAGUAGCGUGAGCGAAAUUUGAAAAGAACUUUGGAAAGAGAGUUAAAAGUACCUGAAACCGUUAUGUCGAAA